CAAAAGGCCUAAAGAACAAGAUUUGUAUAUGAAGAUGCAUGUCCUAAAGCAUGAUUUCUAUUGCGCAAAUAGGUAAGUAAAAUCCUAUUACAUGUUUUCUACCAUUCCCCUUAACUAAGCAUCCAUAACCAUCCCAAUUUCACUAUAAAAACCAUUAUUCUUUACAAGUUAUUACAGACAAGGUAAUUAUAAGUACAACAGUGAUAAUAAAGAAGAAGUUAUUCUAUAGGGAGCCUAUAGCCAGCCCAAGAUCUCCAACCUCACUUCAUUCGAGUUUCACAGCCAUUACCAAGCUUGGGUGCGGCAAAGUUCCCUAAGGGUUCGUUUGAACCCCUGGCCAAUACAAGGAACCCAAAGUGACAUUAUUAGACAAGUGGAAGUGUCAGCCUUGUGCAUCAAAGUUCAUGGGUGCUCAAAGGCUCCCAAAGCAAUGCUUGCACUAAGGGGACAUAACUUAAUGUUCUAAGAGUAGUGAAGUUGUGAUAGGGUUGAGGGAGCCUAAAAACAAUUGAGAUUCAAUUUAAGCAUAGGGUUGAGAGAGCUUAAAAACAAUUGAGAGUCAAUUUAAGAAAACAUCAGAAGGAUUUGGGAGAUAGUUUGAGGAAAUAGUUAAAAAGAGUUAAAAGAGUUGAAAGAAAUUCUUUUGAAAUCAUUUAUACUAACCACUUUAGAACAGAGCAUUAUACAAACAGG
rnacentral:lncRNA from 1 species